UGAGUUUGAAAUCCGUGAAAAACUUGGCUUGUUAGAGAAACCAGUAGUGGUUCAUCAAGAUGAUAGUGUAAUUAUAGUCUGUGGGACCUGUUUUGAAUCUUUUUCUUAUGAUGGGAUAUGCUCUGCUGCCUGUGGUCAUCCUUAUUGUAGAGAAUGUUGGGCUAGUUACAUUACUACAUCGAUCAAUAAUGAUAGUCUUAGGUGUUUAUAUCUGAGAUGUCCUGAACCGUCCUCUAAGGCGUCGGUGGGUCAGGACAUGAUCGACUCA
rnacentral:misc_RNA from 1 species